rnacentral:rRNA from 1 species
UACGGAGGGAGCUAGCGUUGUUCGGAAAUACUGGGCGUAAAGCGCACGUAGGCGGCGCAGCAAGUCAGGGGUGAAAUCCCGGGGCUCAACCUCGGAACUGCCCUUGAAACUGCAGUGCUAGAAUCUUGGAGAGGCGAGUGGAAUUCCGAGUGUAGAGGUGAAAUUCGUAGAUAUUCGGAAGAACACCAGUGGCGAAGGCGGCUCACUGGACUGGUAUUGACGCUGAGGUGCGAAAGCGUGGGGAGCAAACAGG